GAUGAAGAACGUAGCGAAAUGCGAUACGUAGUGUGAAUUGCAGAAUUCAGUGAAUCAUCGAAUCUUUGAACGCACAUUGCACCUCUCGGUAUUCCGGGAGGUAUGCCUGUUCGAGCGUCAUUUGUACCCUCAAGCUCUGCUUGGUGUUGGGUGUUUGUUCCGCCUCUGUGUGUGAACUCGCCUCAAAACAAUUGGCAGCCGGCGUACUUGUUUCGGAGCGCAGCACAUUUUGCGAUCCAGUCCAACGUACAGCGGCAUCCAAGAAGCCUUAUUUAACGCUCUUGACCUCGGAUCAGGUAGGGAUACCCGCUGAACUUAAGCAUAUCAAUAAGCGGAGGA
rnacentral:misc_RNA from 1 species